UAGGGAAGGAGUGUAAGCAUCAGU
rnacentral:piRNA from 1 species